rnacentral:lncRNA from 1 species
GGCCUUGAUGAGGAAAACAAAGCCUCUCUAGAACUAACCAAUUUGAAAUGCUUGUUGUUACUUUUAUCUUCCAGCUUCCCACAGGGCAUCAUGCUUACCAGUCAGACGGCAAAGAAGAAACCACAUCUCCAUCAGCAAAGGGCAGAUAGUGCUGGGAGGCUCCAGCUGUAGAGCUAAGCAGCAACAGUGAGAUCUGGAGCUGAACCAUGGGAAUGAGCAGCGUGCAGUCUCCUGACCUGAUGCGUGGGGACACAGAAAGCCCACAUCUUCACUCUUGGAGCUCCCUGGGUCCUGUGAGAAGCAGACUAUAACCCCAGAUAUCACAACAGUGGUGAACCAGAACAGAACAGGGCAAUGAGGAACCUGAGCACUUUAUUUUCCAGGUAACUCCUUUAAGGAGUGGAUGAAAACAUGGGUUUGCAGCAGAUGCUGGGAUACUGGCAUGGUGUUGUCUGCCAACAAAGCCAUAAAUACUGUGUUGUGUUUA